UACGAAGGGGGCUAGCGUUGCUCGGAAUUACUGGGCGUAAAGCGCACGUAGGCGGCUUUGCAAGUUAGAGGUGAAAGCCCGGGGCUCAACUCCGGAAUUGCCUUUAAAACUGCAUCGCUAGAGUUGUGGAGAGGUAAGUGGAAUUCCGAGUGUAGAGGUGAAAUUCGUAGAUAUUCGGAAGAACACCAGUGGCGAAGGCGACUUACUGGACACAUACUGACGCUGAGGUGCGAAAGCGUGGGGAGCAAACAGG
rnacentral:rRNA from 1 species